rnacentral:tRNA from 1 species
GGAGCUUUAAGUUAUGAAGACUGUGGUAUUUCAAGUAUUAAAGAGAAUGUGUUAAUUCAAGUUUCG